AUGAAAAAGCCUCAGGAAUCCAGAUGGAUCCGGUCUUGCACUGCACUGUUUCAAGCUUCAGUCAACAGUCUCGGAGCAAACGGAGCAGCAGGGAUUUCUGGUUGCCACCGUUCCUGUUCCUGUGUGGUCCCCGUCAUGCUUAUACUACAGCGCUGUAGGGCCCAGAGUGGGAGACGAUUGACACCUACAGGCUAAAAAGACGUAACACGCACUCCUACGCGGUGAAAAUUAGGUGUAACGCGGGAGAAAUGGAAACAAAUCACAGUAGAGGCUGACACUGUUAAGUGCGACGACUGUACGUGUCCAGGUUGGUUUGUUUCAUAUGUGUAGUCUUGUCGUUAUGUUAAUGUGGAGACCCUGUUCUGUGUUUAGUGUUAAUAUCUAAGUGUUACUUAUUCUGUAUUUUAUGUCUUGUGCAAGCAGCGCCCUCAGUUGUACUUACUUAGUUUUGUCUGUAUUUCUUAUUUGAUUACCUAUUAAACCUCCUGUUCU
rnacentral:lncRNA from 1 species